UACGGGGGGAGCAAGCGUUGUUCGGAUUUACUGGGCGUAAAGGGCGCGUAGGCGGCGCAACAAGUCACUUGUGAAAUCUCCGGGCUUAACCCGGAGCGGUCAAGUGAUACUGUCGUGCUAGAGUGCGGAAGGGGCUACUGGAAUUCUCGGUGUAGCGGUGAAAUGCGUAGAUAUCGGAGAGGAACACCUGCGGCGAAGGCGGGUAGCUGGGCCGACACUGACGCUGAUGCGCGAAAGCCAGGGGAGCGAACGGG
rnacentral:rRNA from 1 species